rnacentral:rRNA from 1 species
UACGUAGGGGGCAAGCGUUGUCCGGAUUUAUUGGGCGUAAAGAGCGUGUAGGCGGUCUGGUAGGUCCGUUGUGAAAACUCGAGGCUCAACCUCGAGACGCCGAUGGAAACCAUCAGACUAGAGUCCGGAAGAGGAGAGUGGAAUUCCUGGUGUAGCGGUGAAAUGCGCAGAUAUUGGGAAGAACACCGGUGGCGAAGGCGGCGACCUGGUCCGAUACUGACGCUGAGGCGCGAAAGCGUGGGGAGCAAACAGG